GUAGAGGGAGGAGGUCAGGUAGUAGAGGGAGGAUGUCAGGUAGGAGAGGGAGGAUGCCAGGUAGGAGAGGGAGGAUGCCAGGUAGGAAAGGGAGGAGGUCAGGUAGGAGAGGGAGGAUGUCAGGUAGGAGAGGGAUGAUGUCAGGUAGGAGAGGGAGGAUGUCAGGUAGGAGAGGGAGGAUGUCAGGUAGGAGAGGGAGGAUGUCAUGUAGUAGAGGGAGGGUGUCAGGUAGGAGAGGGAGGAGGUCAGGUAGGAGAGGAAGGAUGUCAGGUAGGAGGAUAAUGAAAUAUGCGUCACUGUAGCUGUCAGCCAGUCGAGUCCUUUCCCCUGGGGAGACCCCUGUGGUGAGUGUUUCCUGUUUGUACAGUAUACUCUG
ensembl:lncRNA